UCCAACAUAGAAUAUGUAAUAAAAAGGACGAAAACCCUUCAAGGAGCUGAGGAAAAGAGAUUUUUGUCGGUAGAGAUAAAAGGCUGUAGAUCGGCCGUAUCCUUGCUGAUCAUGAUGUCAAUUUGCCAACCACUGAGAAAUUAAGGACUACAGUGAGCUCUAAGGACCUCCACUACUGAUAAAGCUAUUUUUUCCAGGAUCGGACUUCAAUUAAGCCAGAUAUAGCUAAUUUAAAAUUUAGCAUAAAAAACAACAGUUUUGUUAUUUUAAACAUAAAUAAAUCAAUUAUUUAAAAUAAAAAACGAAA